GAACGCACCUUGCGCCCUUUGGUAUUCCGAAGGGCAUGCCUGUUUGAGUGUUAUUAAUACCUCACUCUUGAAGUCUUUUAUUGGAUUUCAAGAUGUGGACUUUGGAGGUUUGCAGGCUAUCACUAGUCAGCUCCUCUUAAAUAUAUUAGCGGAACUCUAUGCAGUACCGGCUUCAGUUUGAUAAUCCUAUCUAUGCUGUCGCUGUGAACUGUGCUGUUUGGCUUAUAAUUGUCUUCGGACUGCCAUUAUGGUAUAAUUUAAGCUUAACCUCAAAUCAGGUAGGACUACCCGCUGAACUUAAG
rnacentral:misc_RNA from 1 species